rnacentral:tRNA from 1 species
AUCCAAAUAGUGUAGUGGUUAUCACGUUUCCUUUACACGGAAAAGGUCCCCGGUUCGAGCCCGGGUUUGGGUA